CAUUUGACGUUAGCUGCAGAAGAAGCACCGGCUAACUCCGUGCCAGCAGCCGCGGUAAUACGGAGGGUGCGAGCGUUAAUCGGAAUUACUGGGCGUAAAGCGCAUGCAGGUGGUUUGUUAAGUCAGAUGUGAAAGCCCGGGGCUCAACCUCGGAAUUGCAUUUGAAACUGGCAAACUAGAGUACUGUAGAGGGGGGUAGAAUUUCAGGUGUAGCGGUGAAAUGCGUAGAGAUCUGAAGGAAUACCGGUGGCGAAGGCGGCCCCCUCGGACAGAUACUGACACUCAGAUGCGAAAGCGUGGGGAGCAAACAGGAUUAGAUACCCCUGGUAG
rnacentral:rRNA from 1 species